AGAGUUUGAUCCUGGCUCAGAACGAACGCUGGCGGCAGGCUUAACACAUGCAAGUCGAACGCCCCGCAAGGGGAGUGGCAGACGGGUGAGUAACGCGUGGGAAUCUACCUUGUUCUACGGAACAACUGAGGGAAACUUCAGCUAAUACCGUAUACGCCCUAUGGGGGAAAGAUUUAUCGGAAUAAGAUGAGCCCGCGUAAGAUUAGCUAGUUGGUGGGGUAAUGGCCUACCAAGGCGACGAUCUUUAGCUGGUCUGAGAGGAUGAUCAGCCACACUGGGACUGAGACACGGCCCAGACUCCUACGGGAGGCAGCAGUGGGGAAUAUUGGACAAUGGGCGCAAGCCUGAUCCAGCCAUGCCGCGUGAGUGAUGAAGGCCUUAGGGUUGUAAAGCUCUUUCAGUGGGGAAGAUAAUGACGGUACCCACAGAAGAAGCCCCGGCUAACUUCGUGCCAGCAGCCGCGGUAAUACGAAGGGGGCUAGCGUUGUUCGGAUUUACUGGGCGUAAAGCGCACGUAGGCGGAUCGUUAAGUCAGGGGUGAAAUCCUGGAGCUCAACUCCAGAACUGCCUUUGAUACUGGCGAUCUCGAGUCCGGAAGAGGUGAGUGGAACUCCUAGUGUAGAGGUGGAAUUCGUAGAUAUUAGGAAGAACACCAGUGGCGAAGGCGGCUCACUGGUCCGGUACUGACGCUGAGGAGCGAAAGCGUGGGGAGCGAACAGGAUUAGAUACCCUAGUAGUCC
rnacentral:rRNA from 1 species